CCGAAUGUUACCAAACAAACCACUGUGACCGUCCCUUUAGCUGCUUCGGCGGGCGAUCCCAGGGCGGGAUCCCGGGCUCCUUACGGGGUGCUCGCCGGCGGCCACUUUCUAGCUCUGUUUCUAGCGGGCUUCUGAGUGUAAACAAAAAUAAAUC
rnacentral:misc_RNA from 1 species